rnacentral:tRNA from 1 species
GGGAAUGUGGCUUAGUGGUAGAGUGCUUGCCUAGGAUGCAUGAAAUCCUGAGUUUGAUUCUUCAGUACCA